rnacentral:lncRNA from 1 species
GGGGUCCUGGCGGGAUGGGGGCCAGAGGGAGGGAGGGGAGAAGGGGCGCGGGAGCGGGCGGAACCUCAGGAAGAGGGCUGAGAAAGGGCAGUGACCCUGGGCAAGGUCACUAGUGGGCCUGGGCCUGGGAUGCAGGCAGUGUGACUGGGAGGCCUGCCUGAGCUUGUCCCACCAUCUCAGGUUUCGAGCAGAUCCCUCUGGGCCUGGGUUGGCCUGUGUCCCUGAGGAGGCCCCCUCUGCCCCGCAGCCGCAGCCCCCACCCAGCCCGAGGUGGGCGGAGAGGCCUCCGUCUCAGGCAGGCGCAGCACCUGCCCAGGGGCUCCAUAAAUGUCUGACUUAAUCGGAGCCAGGCAAGGGCUGCUGCGGGCUCAGAUGCCAGCUCCCUUGCCCUCUGAGGAGGAUGCGAAGUCACCAGUGGGCUUUCCCUGUCUUGGCCCUGUACACUGAGAACUGGGGGCAGGUGUCGGCGCUGUGCAUUGUUUCUGUUAUUCCAUAACUGUGGAGUGAUCACCUACUAUGUGCUAGGCACUGUUCUAGGUGCUGGGGAUACAGCGGGGAACUAAAAAGACAAAAUUCCUGCCUUAGUGGAGCUUAUAUUUUAGUCGGGAUAAAUAAGCAAAAUAAACGAGAAGGUAAAAUUGGCUAUUUGAAGAAACAGAGCAGGGUAGAGUGAGGAGAAUGAAGAGCUGAGGAGGUGGAGGGUGUUGCAGUUUUAAAUGGGACGGUCAAGGAUGGCCUCACUGAGAUGACAUUUGACAAAGACUUGAAGGAAGUGAGACAGAGCCAUGAGGAUAUCCCUGGGGAAGAGCAUUCGAGGCAGAGGAAACAGCAAGUACAAAGGUCCUGAGAUCUUUUUGGUGAGGCGUAUUUUGGGCAUAUUUGGUGAGUUGGAGGAAAAGCAAAGAGACCAGAGCGGCUGGAGUGGAGUAACUGGGAGGAGGGAAAUAGGAGAGCUCACAGGUGGGAGUAGGUGUUGUCGUUCAUGUAGGGUCUUGUGGGCCAUUAUAAAGACUUUGGCUUUUAUUCUGGUGAAAUGGGGCGUCCGUGCAGGGCUUUUAACAAAAGAGUGUCUUGGUCUGACCUACAUUUUAGGAAUAUCAGUGUGGCUGCAGUGCUGAGAAUACUGCUAAUAGUUCAGGAAAGAGAUGGUGGUGGAUGGACCAGGGUGAUAGCUGCGGGGGUGGGGAGUGUAUUGGAUGCUGGAUACUGCAUCUGAGGAUGGAGCUGACAGUCUGGAAUGCCAGGGAGGAGGAAGCAUCAAGUCAUAAUCAGCAUCAUCCCUUCUAGGGGUACCUGACUCUAGCUUUCCAAGAGUUCUCACAUGCAGGUUCGUCUCUCAUCCCCUGGCAGCCUUGAGGCUGUUCUUGGGAAGAACAGAUGUUGUGGACCCUGCUGACCAAUGAGGAAGCUGAAACUCAGGCUGUAAGAGAUGUGAGAAGGGAAGAUGAAGAGAUGCCUUCUGACGACCAGCAUAACCUCAGGCACUCCCAAAGACCUAUGGCUGAUAAGUUCCAAGAUAAGGCCUGUGUCUUCAUGAGGGCAGAGUGAAGCCGGAAUCCUGCCUCAGCAUGUGCUGCCUGGGCAGUGGCUUUCGCCUCUCCAUGCCUAGAGACAUACCGGUGAUGGCAUGAGGAGACGGUCCCCAAAUUGUCUUCCGGGCAUUGGUAUUACAGGUUUGACAAUGAUGUGGAAAACCACACCCUGUAGGCCGAAUCCAGCCUUGAGGCCUGGUGAUACCCGGCAGGAAAGAAGCGAAGUGGAAGAUGGCUCAGGAAGUCUGACUCCAGGCUAAUUCCUUGAGGAAAGCUGGCUUGCCAGGAGCGGUGGAGGCAAGCUGUUGGCUCAGAGUGAAGAAUUGCUAUUGUCUGAGAGAGGCCAUGGAGCUGCAUUUGCUGAGUUCCAGUGGCCGCUGGGGCAUUUGGUUCCUGAAAUCAGAGAAGAGCUUUGAUUUUUCUCUCAGAGACCCUUGGGGAUCAAGACUUAGCUCCUGGCAGGAUCACCUCCUGCAUGAUCGCCAGAAUUCCUGGGCCCUAGUCGGGAUGCAGUUUCCCAGGGCUUCUUUCCCACCGCAGGCCUGAUCAGCAGAUGCUCCUGCUGCCCAGGGAGGUGUGGGAGGGCACCGAGGAGAAACUUCACUGACAUCAUGAUUUUCCGAGACCAGGCCUGAACUAGUUCCUGGUGGUUGAGAAUGUCAGGGCUGGAGGGAAGCGCCUGAGAGCAGACAGUCAAGCAGCACAGAGAAGGAAACCAGGACAGGACCUCAAGGAGAUGCGUCUGCCGUCUGGAAGAAGAUUUCUGAAAAUACAAAACAUGAUGUCAAGGGGGAGCAAUCUCUGAGGGUCUUUUCUCCAGACUAUGGUAUCUUUGGAAUGGAAACCACACAGCUGCAUGAUGAUGCAGGAGGUUGCCAGAUUUCAUUCCAUGGUCCUGACCGCAGUCCAGGUUUGAUCGUCAGCUAUUUAACACACAAGAAGCAGACGAUGUUUAUGACUUCAGACAGCGGCCUUGAUUUCACAGAGAAAAUAGGAAAGCUUAUUAUUUUGCACAUGAACCGUGAGAAGCAGACCAGCUUACUCCCACGAAGGCUGGUCACCUGGUGCCCUGAUGAAGAUUUCUCAGAGGGAAUGUGUGGCCCCUCAUCCCAGUGGCUACCUAGUCACUUCUCAAGAAAGUACAGUGCUCUGAUGACUGGGCGGACGUGCGCGGCCUCUGACUGCGGCCGUGGUGAUGUUCUCUCACACUGUAAAGGGGAGGAACGGGCCCCAGCAUGGAGACUGAUGGAAUCAACACGACUCUGCUGUAAUUUGCAUUCCUUUCUUUCUCAAGGAUGGAAAUUAAUAUUUGGCAUCUAUGAGCCUUUUUUCGAACUUAUCUAAGAAUAAAACCCUCAUUGUUGGAUGCCAUGUCUUGAUAAUAAAUGGCAACAUUAUUCCAUUAUUCUGCAACGCCACAGGGACUCGCCCGGCCCAGGGCGGGUGAAGGUUGGGGGAGGGAAGAGGAGCUUCCUGGGUGAAGAGGCCUCAGCAACACGAAGCCAGGUUGAGGUAUUUCAUCCUCGCUGCUCACAUCAGAGCACAACAGUGUUUUGACCCGUGGGAAAGCACUUUGAAAACAUCUGCCUUUCCAUUUUUCUUCUCUUUGAUUUCACUGAAUUCAAUUCCAUACGUGGUUAUUAAGCAGCUACUAAAUAUCAGGAUGGUGCUGAAUUCCCUCCCUCUCCAUCCCAACCAAGCAAACAAAAGAGGAGGAGGAUGUCCCUGUCCUCCUGGAGGUUGGGAUCUGCUGGGGAGACAGACGGAUGUUUAAAAUGGCCAGACAAGAACACAGGCCAGAGCAGAUCAGCUGCGGAGUGGCCAUUGAUGUCGUUUCUGCCUAUCUCCAGUCUCUAUCUUCUGGUUCCGUCCCAUUUGGCUUUCGAGGAAUCGCCUCAAACCAGCAUCAUUCAGGGCCUGUCGGGGGAGAUGCCAGCCCUCCUCCAGCCAGGGCUGGGCACGUGGCCGCCAGGCAGCUCGACCCUCCUCCCAGGCCGGUGAGUCUUGCCUGGAGGGACACAAGGAUAAAGGAAGAGGAAACACACUCACACAUACUCAUUCACAUCCCUCUUCAGACUGUUCAGCACAGAGGCCCAGAUGAGACAGCCCACCUCCUUUUGUUCCCCAGACCCCAAGGGUCAGCCCAGGUUCCUGCCUGUUCCAAGCCAGCUUCUGUGUUCCUUUGGUUCUGUGGUUCUCCUAUUUCCUGUCAUCCAUUCCCUUUGUGCUCAGAGGUAGUUUUUGUUGCUUUCAAACAAAGAACCUGAGUGGGACACCUGGCAAGUUAUUUUUAUGUCCAUCAGAGUUGGAAAAGAUUAGAGAACAUGACUAGCGCUCAGGGAGACUGACAGAACUGUCCAGAGCCCAGACUCAGACAGAGAAAUGCUGGCCCUGCAGCUGUGAACUCUGAAAACAGAAGAAAGACUGCCUGAAAUAUAGAGAGCAUGGAACCCUUCUGUGUUGGUCAGAUGAACAGAGAUCUUUAUUUUAUUUUAUUUUUGAGGAAGAUUAGCUCUGAGCUAACAUCUGCUGCCAAUCCUCCUCUUUUUGCUGAGGAAGACUGGCUCUGAGCUAACAUCCACACUCAUCUUCCUCUACUUUAUAUGUGGGACGCCUGCCACAGCAUGGCUUGCCAAGCGGUGCAGUGUCCGCACCCGGGAUCUGAACUGGCAAACCCUGGGCCACCAAAGCGGAACGUGCAAACUUAACCACAGCGCCAUGGGGCCAGCUCCUGAACAGAGAUCUUAAUAUCGCCUCCCUGCUCUUCACCCCCUGCAUGCUCAGUACAGGACAUCCCACACAGUGGGAGUCACUGCUCAGAGGAAGCCUGUGGAUGGAUUCAGUUCCAUAGGUCACUCAUUGUGCCAGGUCCACGAGCCCCCAAAGGCCUGGCGGCCUGUCUGAACUCCGUACAUCUGCUAACCACCCUGGGGAUCAUCUGGGUUAAAAUCUUAAUCCUCAGGCAGCCUCCUCUCACCACCCCGUGUGCUCAGAGGGGGCUGUCUCCCCUACCAGUUGUUAAGGGAAUGUUUCAAAACUGGUUUGAACAAAAUGACUGAGGUGCUGUCUGUUGCUUGUGGCUCUCUGUCUCCUUGUAUCUCUGUCCCUCUCCUCCAGGUUAUGUAAUCAAGAACUGGCUGCUCUUUGCCGGGGGGACUAGGCCUACGUUGCCUUUUACAAAUCAUUAUGAAAUAUCUCCAACAUACGACAAGGCUUCAGGAAUACUACUGUGAACACCUGUGUGCUACCACUAAGCUCAAGAAAUAACACAUUAGGAACACAGUUGGGGCUCCUGUAAAUGCCUGCCAAGAGAGCCCCAGACUCUAACCCAGAGCUUUGCAGCUUCUCAUAGGUUUGGGAUCAAUAGCAGUUCAAGACGGGCCGCAGCUACACACAGCUUCUGUCUCCACUCAGGUCUACAAGAUUAAUAAUUAUUGUCCAGAUGACUAUAUUUCUCUGCAUCCAGAAUGAGUCACCAGUGGCAAGAUCAACACGGGCAGGCCUGUGUGGGGAGCUGAAAUUUUGGCUGUGCCCCCUUCUCAUCCUAAUAAUAACCACACAGUCGAGGUGGGGGGUGUUAUGACAUAUUGCCCAGACCCAUGACCUUCCCCUCUGCGCGGACCUCCUACAGAGCCACCACGCCCAACUUCUUCAGGCCGUGCUGGCUCUUCCCCCUCUUGGCUCCCUCUUUAAGCUCUGUAGUAUAUUACUGGCCUUAGGCCCUCCCUCAAUGUUUGUAAUCUAUGAAUAACUACUGUAAUUUUUGAGUAGCAGACACGUUAUACAGAAUUUACAGUAUAAAGAAUUACCCCAAAGAAUGUUCCAGUCUUCUACAGCCUGAGGGCCUGUUACAGAAGGAAACUGACUAAAGGAUUACAGUAACCUUAUCCUUAUUUUGCAGAUGGGGAAACUGAGGCCCAGAGAGCCCUGACCCCACAAUGGCGAGAACUUGGGCAGUAUUGGGGGUAGGGGUAUUAAACUUGCUGAGAAGGUGGGAUUUGAGGCAGAGUUCUGCCCAGACCUUCCACCAGGCUGAUGCUGACGUUCUGCCAGGCUAAUCCCUCCACUGUUUGGUGGUUUUUAGCCACUCGUGGUCAUGCUACAUUGUUCAAUGGAGGGACGCAGGGUGGCCUUAGUCUGUUUCCUGUGAGUUCUCCACGAGUACCAACUGCAGCCUCCAACUAACAAUUUGCAAAGUACUGACUGGUAUGUUGGUACAAUUUGCAAAGUACUGACUGGUGGUUUUGCUCAGCUGUAUCAUCUGUGACUAUGACAGUCUGAUAGAAUAA